UAGGACACCAAGCUACUCAGGGUGGCUAAGUCUGGUGGUUUUCUUCCCAACAGUCAUUCUCUCCUCACCUUUCAUCCUUGCUCUCAGAAUCCACUUUCCAACUCCAAAGGCUAAAAAUGCCAAUAAAGUUUGAACAUCCCUAAUUUCAAAAUCUGAAAUCCGAAAUGCCUCAAAAUCCAACAUUUUUUGAGUGUCAACAUGGUGCUCAAAGGAAAUGCUCAUCAGAACAUUCAGGUUUUGGGUUUUUGGAUUAGGGAUGCUCAACUGGUAAGUAUAAUGCAAAUAUUUCAAAAUCGGGAGGAAAAAAAAUCUGAACUCUGAAACACUUCUGGUCCCAAGAAGUUUUUGAGUAUUUUGGGAUACUCAACCUGAAUAACUUUUUUUUUUUUUUUUUUUUUUGGAGAUGGAGUCAUGCUCUGCCGCCCAGGCUGGAGUGCAAUGGCGCAAUCUUGGCUCACUACAACUUCUGCCUCCUGGGUUCAAGCGGUUCUCCUGUCUCAGCUGAAUAACUUUUAUUAUUAGGGCAUGAGCAUGUAACCCAACCCCAGUGGAGGAGUUUAAAGAUCGCUGAGAGACUUCGUGUACAAACACAAGCAUUUGCUGAACAUGUUCCUGAAUUAAAUGUGAGGGACGGUUUGGGAAUUAGAAAUCUUCUGGGACAAUUUAUGAGUUUAAACAGCUACCUGAAUCUGAAGUUUCUCCAGAGCAAUUCAAGUUGUUUCUCUCCUAGAGAAGGAACAAAAACGUGUGUCUCCUGCCUCCCGUUACCUUGCUUUCCAGGAAUGACUUUAGAGCUGAAUAUUUACAGACUGGAGUCUUUAAUGCUCCAUAAUUAGUAAGCAGAGUAUGUCUCCUCCAAACAGCAGUAUGCAAAGAAUAAAAAGGUAUCUACUUAAUACAACGCUAGAUGACAAGCCCUUUUUUGUCUGACUUCUGGAUUUAGUGGUUUGUCUGAGUCCUCUCCUAGACCUGCUGACUUGACGAUAAAAAUCUCUUUUCAGUAGAGACUAGCUUUUCACACUUGUUUAAUUCUUCCUCUUUUGGUAACCAGUUUACCUAGACCUUUUUUUGUUUGUUUUACAACAAAUAUAACAUCAUUGUCCUGUGGAAACCCUUUUGUUUAUGCUGGAUCAAGAAGGUAUCUCUAGGUGUUGUGACCCAGACAGGGCACAUGGCUCUCCCUCAUCUCUCCGUGUGCCUGCCUGCAGAAAACCAAAUUACAAACGUGGGCCCUGCAAUCAAGUUGCAUGGACCCUCUCUCCUCCUGACUGUGCAAGAGUUACUUAGCAUUUUUUGCCCUCAGUUUCUUCCUGUAUAAAAUAGGGGUAAAAAUAGUUUUCUACCUGAUAAUACUGUUGUGAGAAUUAAAAGAAGUAAUCCCAGAAAAGGCUUAAUAGUGCACACUCAGUAACUGUCAUUGAUCAUUUUUUUUCCCUUAUUUACAUCUCUACAUGUUGGUGAUUUUAAAAAAUCAUUAUUUUAUUUUUUUCAGUUCCGGGGUUCACGUGUAGGAUGUGCAGGUUUGUUACAUGGGUAAACAUGUGCCAUGGUGGCUUGCUGUUCCUAUCAACCUAUCGCCUAGGUAUUAAGCCCCGCAUCCAUUAGCUCUUUUCCCUAAUGCUCUCCCC
rnacentral:lncRNA from 1 species